rnacentral:rRNA from 1 species
UACGUAGGCUCCAAGCGUUAUCCGGAUUUAUUGGGCGUAAAGGGUGCGUAGGAUGUUUCGCGCGUCUCCUGUUAAAUUUCACCGCUUAACGGUGGAGCCGCAGGGGAUACGGCGAAGCUAGAGGGUGCGAGAGGUCUGUGGAACACAAGGUGUAGGGGUGAAAUCCGUUGAUAUCUUGUGGAACACCAAAGGCGAAGGCAGCAGACUGGCGCAUCUCUGACUCUGAGGCACGAAAGCGUGGGGAGCAAAAAGG